UUUGAUGAUAAUAUAAUUUUACUUUUAUUUGUAUCGGGACAACGCAGUGAUAAAUACAUUUGUUGAUGUUGCAUCUGCACAAGCUGAUGCACAAAACUUGUUACAGGCUUAUGAACUACAAUUUGGAACAGAUGACUCUACAUUCAACUUGAUCUUGUGUAGCCGUAGUUUCUGUCAAUUAUAACAAGUAUUUUUAGAAUAUCAUCGUCUAACUGGCAGAGAUUUUGAAGAUGUUAUCAACAGUUAAGCAUUUGUCAAUAUUAGAGUAGUUGUGAAAUCCGUAAAAGACAAAAUUGCUUACUUCACCAACCAAUUGAUGUUUGCUAGCAGGCCUUGUUCUGGCUAUGAUGAAAGACCGUUGCUUCGUAUAGUUGCAACUCGUUGUGAAAUAUAUAUAGUUGAAAUUAAAAAUGUUUACAUGUCGAUGUAUAGGACAUCUUUGAAGGCUGAUAUUGGGUCAGAUAUUACCGUGAGCUGCUGCACGAGUAGUGAAUGAAAAAGAAGUCAGCUGUAAUGAUUGAUUGCUGAAUUAAUCAAUAAUUAUCUAAUAUUUAACACUUUUGGUUUGCUUGAACUUAUUUUAACGACGAUACAUUCAGUGAAUAUAAAAGAUGUCUCAAGGCACUUGCUUCAGGCUGAAAAUAAUAAUAUUCAUACAAUCUUAUUAUACAGUGUUCUAUUUAUAUAAUCAUUA